rnacentral:rRNA from 1 species
CCUAGGGGGCUGCAGUGGGGAAUAUUGGACAAUGGGCGAAAGCCUGAUCCAGCCAUGCCGCGUGUGUGAAGAAGGCCUUCGGGUUGUAAAGCACUUUCAGUGGGGAAGAAAGCCUUGGGGCUAAUACCCUCGAGGAAGGACAUCACCCACAGAAGAAGCACCGGCUAACUCCGUGCCAGCAGCCGCGGUAAUACGGAGGGUGCGAGCGUUAAUCGGAAUUACUGGGCGUAAAGCGCGCGUAGGCGGUCUGAUAAGCCGGUUGUGAAAGCCCCGGGCUCAACCUGGGAACGGCAUCCGGAACUGUCAGGCUAGAGUGCAGGAGAGGAAGGUAGAAUUCCCGGUGUAGCGGUGAAAUGCGUAGAGAUCGGGAGGAAUACCAGUGGCGAAGGCGGCCUUCUGGACUGACACUGACGCUGAGGUGCGAAAGCGUGGGUAGCAAACAGGAUUAGAUACCCCGGUAGUC